rnacentral:rRNA from 1 species
UAGUCCUAGCUGUAAACGAUGGGCACUAGGUUGCGGGUGUUUCGAUGGCAUUCGUUUCCGUAACAAAUGCGUUAAGUGCCCCGCCUGGGGAGUACGGUCGCAAGGCUAAAACUCAAAGGAAUUGACGGGGGCUCACACAAGCGGUGGAGCAUGUUGCUUAAUUCGAAGCAACGCGAAGAACCUUACCCGGGUUCGAAGUGCUAGGAUUAGCUCUGUGAAAGCAGAGUGACGCCCUCGUGGUGGAACUAGUAUAGGUGUUGCAUGGCUGUCGUCAGCUCGUGUCGUGAGAUGUCGGGUUAAGUCCCUGAACGAGCGAAACCCUUGUCCCUAGUUGCCAGCACUUCGGGUGGGGACUCUAGGGAGACUGCCGUUGUUAAAACGGNGGAAGGUGGGGAUGACGUCAAGUCAUCAUGGCCUUUAUGCCCGGGCUGCAAACGUGCUACAAUGGCUGGUACAAAGGGAUGCCAAGUCGCGAGGCCAAGCAAAUCCCAUAAGCCAGUCCCAGUUCGGA